GGUCUUAUAGCUCAGUUGGUUAGAGCGUGGUGCUAAUAACGCCAAGGUCCGCGGUUCGAGCCCGUGUGGGACUA